GACAGGGUUUGGAGAGCUUCAGGGUGGGGAACGGGUGGAGAUUCUGGAAGGGUGGCGUGCUCCCAGAGAGCGUGGAAGCUCCACCCUUCCCCACCCCCCACCCCCCCACCCACACACCUUGCCCUGUGCUUGUCCUCUACCUGACUGUUCCUGAGUUACACCCUUUUAACAUAAACCAGGGAUCUAGCAAAUUAAUUCAACUCAAGGAGGAGGUCAUUGGAACGUGUUAUUUGUAGCCAGGCAUUCUGAGCCACAGCUGUUGCCGUGUUUAUAAGUGGUGUCCCUGGCUCUGUCUGCUGCUAAUGGUGAGGAAACUGAGACACUGAAAUGCGGGACCCAAGAGCUAUGCAGCAGAACCACAGCUGAGGCAGAGCUGCUGCUGCUUAAAAAAUCUUGAGCACCAGAGCUGAACCCGGAAGUAUUAAGACUACAUUGGAAUCUACUGGGUAAGUCCUUAAGGUUAUAUGGAAUAUUGUCCUGCACAUGAUUACAACUUUAAGUGACUACUUGUGACCAUGGUGAUGGCCUUUACUUGAUGCAAAGUAGUGAUUUAUCAUGGGAGCCAAGGACAGAUUGAUGCUUCAUCUGCCUAUAAGACCCAUGACGAAAACUGGUAGCCUAAGCCAGUGUCUGAUCAUCUCUCUAUACAAAUUCUCCUAAUGUUCAUAGUCUUCAUGGUCAAGACGAUUUUCCUUUAUAAUUUAAAUUUAUUUUUCGUCAUGUUUAUCUUUAGCUGCAAAAAUAAGUAGGAACUGGGUGCUCAUUCUGUAUUAAUCGCUGAUGGACCAUUAAUUGUUGAUGGACAAUUUAUAGAGAAGAUUCACAUGGCUGACGGUAUAUAUGGAUGACCUACCACAUGCAGGCCCCUGCAGGUGGCUUCUUUUGUUCUUGCUGAGGAAUCACCUCCUGAAGUCAUCAAGUACAAAUGGGGUAUCUGCUAAAUGUCUAACUUUAAGCACAUCGAGCCUAGAAUCCUUAUAUUUCUCAGAUCUUACUUUUUGUCCCUAAUAGAGCCACCACCAUAGCAUCAUUCAACAAAUAUAUGAGCCAUGAGUUAUGCUAAACCCUGCAGAACAUAGCUCUGAAUAAGGCUUCCAUUUCCCCAUUUCCCCUGAGCAGUCUUCUGAGGGAUAUCAAAUAGAAAAUGACCAAAAAAAAAAAAAAGGUAAUAACAGUACAGGUGUGGGAGGUACAUGGAACUUGAGGAUCACAGAGAGGUGCCCCUAGUCUAGCAGAGGGUGAGAGAAGAGUGCCUGGUUGAACUGACAUCAAAGUCAAGUUUUGGACAGUGAACAGCCAUUAACAGACUUUGGGGUGAGCUGGGUGAGGGCUGGGAAGGCACGAGCAGAGUCUUGUUAAAAACACAAAAUUCAGCUGAGUAAAUUAGUUUUGACAAAUGCGGUUUUAAACUCAGCUGAAGAUCUAAUUGGCUUUAUUAAACAAUGCAUAAAUCAGGGAGCACCCCAUCUAGCAAGUAGCAGGACUUUGCUGAACUAAACAAAAGAAAGGUUGUUAAAGACUGUGGGGGGGGGGGUCAUUAAAAAAAAGGAGAAGAAAGGGAUCUGUUAGCAAGGAGAGCAUCAUUUGGGCAAGGUGGCCCUCCUGAUGGGAACGGAAGCAGUCUAUCAGUACAUUUCCUAGUACUGACAGGAAAUUCUGUGUUGACUGGUUCGUUCCAUUCCUGGGAGGGUGAAACCGCAGUUACCUUGGAUUUUAAGUCUUGGUUUAUGGACUUGGCCUAAGUGACACCAUCUGGGGUCUGUGGUUGUCUUUUGAACAGCCUGUUGUAGGUUCUAGAAAGUGGAAGCACAUGUAUAAACUCUGCAGGCGAGGAAGAGCAUAGAAUACCUUAAAAACAGUGAUGGAAAUCAGUGUAGUAUGGCUGGAAUAUAAAGUACAGCUCCUACCUGAGCCCAUAGAGAUAGAGGUUCGGCUUCCAACCUGCAGGCGAAGGAGAACCAUCGCAGAGUGUUGGGAGGGGAGAGGCGUGAUCAGGUAGGCAUCUUAGAAAACCUACUCUGAGAGCAAUAGCGCUAUGAUUGAAGGAGGACAGGAGGGCCAUAAAGAUGCUGGGCAUACAAUCUAGGACUAAGAAUGGAGGCCGCCCCAAACACUUGCUUUUUUCCAUGUCCCCUGCAAGUAAAAGCCCCUUUGGGAACCGCAUCAACAAUUUAAGGGUGUUUUCAGUUAUUCUGGAGCAAUACUGUAAUCUCCUUCAUAAGAGAAAAAUGCUAUUUGCCAUCACUGAAAAACGCUCAAUUGGUAGUUCUCUGGGAGAAACUAUUCAGUUUGCUAAAAUUUAAAUACCCACAGAGUAAAAACAAAAGCAGCUAAUAAGAAAUGUGUCAUUGAAAUUGAACAGAAGCUAGAGAAGUCCCAUUUCUUGUUCUUUUUAUCUUUUCAAAAGCAUGGCUCCACAGCAAUUUACCCAUGUUAUCAUUCAUCCUUUGUAUCAUUAGCAUUUGGGAAAAUGCCUGAAACUGUCACCAUGAGACAAGCAACAUGUAGAAACUAAAAAUGCAGUUUGGGGAAAUUAGAAAAUAAAACUCUGAAGGAAGAGGAUUGAAUGUUUCAUUAAACGUAAAGAUGAUGCUAAAAAUAAAAUCCUUCCUGGCUUCAAGAGUUGUUGGCUACUGAAAUGUCAAAAUCAAUUAGGCCUUUUUUUUUUUUUUUUUUUUUUUUUGCAUGCUCUGUGGUGCAAAACCAAUUACUGUGACAGUCCCUGUCCUCAGGACACAGAGACCACAGAUGUGGGAGAUGAAACAAGGGCCAAUCUUGAGCCAAACAUUUAUUAAAGCAAGUACCAGUUUUAAAAAGUUGUUCAUUCAUUGGUUGUUAUUCAUUCACUCACUCAUGCCAGUCCACACUUUCAUAAGGCAGGGGGCAUGGGAGAAGUGCCAGGGGAACUGGGUGUGGGUCAUGUCCAUUGUAGGCUUGUUUGGCUCCAGGGGAAGUGUUAAGUCAUGGCCUUAAAUGGCCAAAACAAAGUGGAAAGUACUGUUGAUAGACACUGCUUUUGGUGCAAGUGGGUGAGGAUCAGAAGGGGAGUAGUGACCAGAGGGAGAAAAACAAUAGACUAGGCACUGUAUUUCGUGUAUAUAGGUGUUAGCUUAAAAAUAGGUCUCAUGUGGCAGGGACUGUAAUCACUCAUCUUUUAACAUGAGGGAAAUAAGACUUAGAAAAAUUUAAUAGUUCACUGGUCCUGGGAUAUUGGUUACUGUUGGCACCUGUUGGACUUCAUAGCACAUCAUUUUAUUUCUAGUCUAUUCUGAAUUAUAAGUUUGGUUUCAUGAUUUUGCAAACUUCACUCGGUAAAGGAACCACGUAUAUACUCUUCAAAUAGUAAGACAGAGGGCAAGAAGCAUGGAGCUGAAGAGUCCUGGGCAUCUCCUUUGGUGUGGUACCAGGAUAAUCAGUCCAGAUAAUGGGGCUCUGGGAUUUCAGGAUUUCCAGAUGCCAGAGAAGGCUUCCAGAAGAGAUGGGGGCAGAGCUGGACCUUGAAAGUGGGACCUGGGCAAAAGGGAGAUAAAGGGAAUCCUCAGAAGGGAAGAAAGCUGAGAAAAUUAAACCAUUUCUACAUUUCCCAGUAGGGUGACGUUGAUUCCAGUUCAGAUAACUCAGCAGAGACCUCUCUGUACCAAUGUCUGAGUUGAGGGGAGGAGACCAUGAAGUAACCCCAUGAAGACUGCACAGCAGAGACGAUCUAGGAUGUGGGGGUUGGAAGAGACAUAUUUUAGAGAAGCAGUCAGUGGUAGACAAGGAAAGGCUGAGCUUCUCCCUUAGUCCCCACUUGCCCCUUUCCAGUUAAGGAUAUGCACAGUGGAAAUUUUCUUAGUUUUGACAAAUGGAAUUUUAAACUUUUCUCUAGCCCCACCUGAUUUCCAAUCAGAAUGCAUUCCUGAACCCUGCUUAGAGCCAACCCUUCAGAGAAGGGUAAGUUAGGAGCAAGAUGAUUGCGGUUAUUAGCGUAUAUCACUGAUUUUCUGACUGUUGCUGUUUCCUCCUAUGUUUUAGAUUUAUCUACUGGUUUAUAGGUUUUCUUCUGUCCCUGGUUGAACAUACUAAUGAACCCUUUCAGCUAUGGAGAGUUCCUUUCUAUCUAAACAUGGUGAUCUCCAGUGAGGGUUAGAGCAGUUGGAGAAAUGAUCAAUUGUUGGAGCUAGAACAUAGGAUUUGGAGACUUUGGAUACGUUCCGGACAUUGAGUUUAGUCAUAGCUGAGAAAUAGGAACAAAUUUAUUUUUAUGAGAAUGGGAGAUGGGCGAGAAAUUAUUCUAGUUCCUCAUCUUAUUUACAGGAAAGCCAGCUGGAGGCAGGGGUAUGAGGGAUGUCCUACACAAAUCAGUGAUGUGUAGACAGAGACAGGAGGGAACAGUUUGGGUUCUGUCAGUAGCCCUUCACUUCCUCAUUGGAAGUUUGACUCGAUGAUGCGUGGCUCAGACCUCAUAAGCAGAUGACUGAUAAAUGGAUAGAAUUCUAAAGAGCUCAACUAUGUCUGUAAUGGUGGUAACUCAGUUGAAAUGGCCCUAUUGUUUAUAGGUGGAGUGAACUAUUGAGAUCGAAGACCAUUGACACAUAAAAUGUAGAGAAAGGAAAUACGUACAAUGGAAGCUGACAGCCCCCAAUGUGCCUUGGGGCAGCAGAAAAUUUCUAUAGUCCUUCACUUCAAUGCUGGGACAGUGAGGAUAGUGAAUUUUUGUUGGGAAGGUAGGAAUCUAUGCUUUGUCCCACUAUGAUCUUUUGACAUCUUAUAUGUCUGCUUGGUCAAUGAAGUUUCUUUUUGAGAUACCCAUGGUCUCUGUGACAGCUUUGUUCAAGCCUUGCAGUCAUUCAGUCCGCCACACUCCCACCCAAGAGCAGUGUGACUCCACUUGGGACAAUAGGAAUUACUGCCUGGGUAAAUCUUCAAGAACGAUCUCAAUUGAGCUGGUACAUAAUACAGAGUAAGUGUGAAAUAAUUCUGGUUGAACUAAUAGAAUAUUGCCCCACGGAGCAGGGACAGAAAGUAAAAAUAAAAUCUCUCAAUGGCAAACACUUGGCAGGAGGGUGAGGAUCAUGCUUUCCUUAUUCUCAAGUUAUAAAAUAUAUGCGUCAUGCAAAAUAAGUCAGUGGCACAGUUCUGUUCUUUUUUUUUUUUUUUAAUGUAAUUUAUUGUCAAAUUGUUUUCCAUACUGUUACGGAACCAGGCCAGAACGCUGGCGGAAAAACCAAGCAGCACUUGGACAUCUUGGUGGAUUGGAGAUUUAUUAAACACCAGCGGGCUCAGAGGAGACCGUUUCUUCAAAGAUCUGAGCCCCGAAUAUUAGCCACUCAAAACCCGCUAAGCACGCACCAGUAUGAACCCACAGCGCGGGCGUUGGAGACACAAACUGCUGGCUCCUGUCGUCAAGGGGAGCACUGCCUGACGGGAGAGAGGAGUGGCCACAGAGCAACACGGAUCAGGCCUGCAAACUGCCGAUUGCUGAUAGAUGGAGGUAGCCUGCCUUCUAAUUUGCAACGUGCCUUCACAUCCAUUGACUUCUGCCAGCGUUUCUCAAAGUGUGACCCAAGAAACAGAGAUAGCUAAAGAGUAAAUCCUUGGGGCUGGCCCCAAACUGCUGAGUUGGAAAAUGUGAGACUGGACCCCAGACACCUGAAUUAUAAACAAAUAGUGUCUCUUGCCUUUUUUGGCCCACUUCUCCAGUGAUUCUUCGGCACGUGGAAAUGUAAGAACUGCCACCGUACGUGAUCGUCACAAAACUCCUAUAAAGUAGUGAGCCAAACGGCAUCAGCCCAUUUCAGAAAUUAGGGCAGUGAACGUCGAAGAAGUUGAGUGGUUUUGUUUCAGAUGAUGCAUUGGUAUUGUGGCAGCUGGUUAGGGUGUGGUCCAGAGAGGCAGAGCGGGCAGCAAGGAGGCGCACAAGAGAAUUGCUGUCAGCCAGGAGCUUGAGGCACAGGAUGGAAAGUACAGUGUGGGCAUGGGAAGACUGAGCUUGGGACAGAAACGUCCCUUCAGGAGAGUUCGCACUUCAGCAGCUAAUCGUGGCAAGAGGCAGCCAGGGCCUCUGCAAGGGGGAGGGUAUUGGGUACGAGAAGGGGAAAGUAAUUCAUUCCCAUCGUUGGCAGGUUCCAUGUUUGCAAAUUCACCUGCUUGCUCAAAUGUACUUUGUAAUCCCCAAAUCAAUACUUAAGGUGCAUUUGCUGAUAUUCAUAGAUAUGCACAGAGCCGUGAACAAUAGUGCUCUGGGGUGUUUUGGUUUUGUUUUUGUUUUUGUGUCCUUUCUUAGUGAUUUUGCUGUUGAAAAUGGCUCCCAAGUGUUCCUGAGUGCAAGAGGGCUGUGGUAUGCCUCAUGGAGAAAAUACGAGUGUUAGAAUAAGCUUCAUUCAGGCAUGAGUCAUAGUGCUGUUGGCUGUGAGUUCUAUGGUAAUGAACCACCAAAGUGCGUUAAAUAAGGUGUUUUAAGAUGGGAGCAAACACAGGGUUCUGUAUCGAUCAGCUGAUGAAACUGUGAUUAAGGAAGGACUCAUAGGAACCUAAUCCUGUGUUUCCCUAGGAGCCGUGGUUCAGAGUCUACUAAUUUACUGUACUUGGUGACUUCAUAGAAUAUAGCUACCAGGAAUAACAAGAAUCAACUUUAAUUACUGGGGCAACAUCAGGUGGUAUCUCCUGGGUGUCAGAGACUCUGUGCUUUGGUGUAAGCGCCAUAAUCCUCAUCCCACCUGCAGUGUGUUUGCCAUGGUCUACAUGGCAGGGAUUAGGAUACAGACUCAGAAUUGAGUUGAUCCAAGCUCCCUAAAUGAAGAAAUGACAAACGCUACUUUGCCAUAGACAUUUCAGAGUCAGAACCAUCAAAAGAGUUUUACUUACUAUUGGGAUGGGUGGGCAAGGAAGCCGGGAGAGCCCCACUGACCAGGAAGCUGGUGAUGCUGCUAGAGAAAACUAUAGGCUAACAUUUUUGGUGGAAAAGCAGGACUUGAUUUGGGGUGUAGAUUUGGAAAUCACUCACGAAGAUGCAUUUAUAGUCAUGGGAGAGAGUGAGACACAACCCCCAAGCCCUAGAAGAGACAGAAUUUGAAAAACUUUCUAUUUCAAGGAAGAAGGGGGAGCAAAGAAACUAAGACAGAGAAAAAAAAAAAAGAAAAAAAGAAAAAAAAAGCAGGGACAGACUAGGAGAUUAGGAAGCAAAAAAUGGAUUUUCCAAAAAUGCAAACAGGAGAUGGCCCGUGGUGUGAGACACUCAGAAAGGUCAGGUGGGAUGAAGGCUGAGAAAAGGUCACUGCGUUUGCUGAUGGAAUGUCACUAGUGACCUUUGGGAGAGCAGUUGACGGUGGGGACAGAGGAUAGGGAAGUAGUGAGUAGGUCUGAGGCAACAGAGGCCGCUGAGCAGGACCACUCUCUACCGGGUGCAAGUCUCCAGAGGAGGAGAUGGAGGGAGAACUUUUUUGAGCGGAGACGGGAACCACCUUGGAGACAAGGAAGUGGAGUCCAGGGAAAAUGGAAAGGCAAGGGGAAGUGUCAUUUUGAAAACGGAAGGGAAUAGGAGGGGAAGAAUAAGCAGAUGUGUCCUUUGCAAAGAAAGGGAGACACUUCCUCUUCCUGAGGCUGCAUGCAGCUUGCAUGUGCUGAGGCCCGUGGAGACAGAAAUUGCAAGCUUUUAGGCUGAGAUCUAGGCUGCAAGAAUACACUGCAACACAGUUGGGACACCUGCUCUGGUGGGGUUUUCAGUCUCGGAGGUGCUACAUUGAGACCCCAUCGAUUCUAACUGGAGACUUUAGUCGUUUCCGGGAAUCUCGGUGCUGGGGAAAUAGACUGUGCUCUGAAGCAGAUGUAGUCGCUUGGCUACUUCUAAAAAGUUAUGACCUAGAAAUCUUGCUGAAUCCGUUUUUACCAUUAAUAACAACUAUUUAGUGCUGGCAUUUUUAGGCAGACACCUUGUUUAAGUUCUUUGCAAGUGAAACAAAGACUCACUUAAAUCCCUCACGUAGGUUAAACGUUUCCCGUUCUCUCUCGUCUGUUUUCCUUAUUCAUCAAGAAACCUGGCAAACCUUUUUAACUACCGAUAUUGCAGAGGCAAAGUUCAGUCAGGCUUGUGUUACGUUGUCGCAAUACCCCCAGAUUAAUAAGAUCUGACUACCCAACGCCGUUUGCCGGCUGGACCUGAGUGCCCUUAAUUGCCCUGCCCACGGGAACGGGAAAGUGGGGUAGGCAGUUUCACUGCUCUUGGUUAUGGCCUCUCAGUGAUAAAAUGCUUCCAGACCUAGAAUGUUCCAAACAGCCUGUUCCCUGGGAAAUGCUGUGUAGAAGCUGAUGGGUAGCUUGCUCAGUCGAGCCCAGCCAAGAGAAUUGAGAUAUUAAAGUUGGAGAUGCUGGUAUGCUGGGGAAGCAGUUCUAACCCUGGGUCUGGCUCAGAGCUGUCACCGUCCCUGCCCUGCCCUGGGUCACAGAAAGAAAUUGCUCACCUCCCUUGACACCACUGUUCGGGAGCCUGCUGCCUGGCCUCUGCCCUCAGGCUCAGCCUUUCUCCAGGGCUUCUGCAGUAGGAUAGACCUAGACGCAAAAAUCAGCUCUUGGCCUUACACUUAGACUAGCGCAACUUCCUGAGCAUCUCUGAGCCUGGAAAAUGGGAGCACAGGCUCCUUGGAGAUGCAGACAGGAUGCAGCGGGUAAGAUGCCUAAUGGGCAGCAGCAGUCAGGGCUUACUGCUCUCACGUAUGCAUCUUAGAUGGCAAGCGAUUUUCUGUUUCCAACCCUUUUGAUCGUUGUUUCCAUCUCAGAUUCUGGCAAAGUGUGUUCAUUGUGACAAGUCAAACAAUACAGCAUUGUGCAAAGAAAACCAUAAUUCUUUCCCUCCCCCGCUUCCAGCACCUCAUCCACCCUUCCAGAAGUAUCCAUCGCUAAGGUUUGUGGGUAAUCUCCCAUGUUUCUCCCUGCUCGCACUGACACAUGCAUAAAUGUCAGGGACUUUAUUCCCCUCUAAGUACGUAUGCGUAUUGUUCUUGGUGUUGUUUUACAAAAAAUAGGAUCAAGUGUACUCUUACUGCUUUCACAGAUGUCUCUCUAGGUCAAUAUUACAAAUCAACUUAUUCUUUUGAAGAGCCAUGUUAUCCUAAACAGCCUGUUAAUAAUAUAAUCAGCUCAUAAUAUAACGCCACUGUAAUCGUCUCAACCAGCUUCCUACUGAUGGAGAGUCAGUCUAUUUAUAGUUUUGUUUCUCCAGCAUAAAUAUUGUCAUUAGCACUAUUGUUCUGUAAUAGGCAUAAAACUGGACCACGGUUUGGAUGGGAAAACCAGACUCCAUAAGUCUCAUUCUGCGUUAUUUUUUUCUUCUGCCCUCACUUCUCCUCUCUUCUUUCUCCCCCCCCCCCACCUCUUCUUGCCCUCACAAACCACAGCUGGGCCUCAGUCCUGAUAAACCUGGAAACAAGGGGACAGGGAAGGUUUGUUUCCAAUCCUGCAUUUUAUUGGAUCUGGCCUUGAGGGAGCCUGUCGUCAUUUCAUGAAGUGACUUUGCAGUCCCUAAGGAAAUCCCUAAGCAAAGGUCUUAGGUCAGUAAAUUAGCAGGCUGUGUUCUCCCUGCUUGGUGGGCACCCUAAUAGGGUCAUUUUGUUCCCUUAGUGUCCUCAGGAAAAUCAGAAAUAUGAGAUUCCCUUAAGCAGAGGAAAGCUCUUACUGCAUUCCGGGGUAUCCAUAGUGGAAAUUUCCAACAAAUUCCAUUACCAGUGGCAUUUUGCGAUUUGCAGGCUUAGGUGCGUCAACUGCUUCUAAGAGUUUAGCUCCUUCCUUCUUCCCAUACCCUCUGCCUCUGGCACAUACAGACGCUGAGCUGAUUUUAAAGCCAGAGACCCAAAGUCUUAGCCCAUCCUGCUGUAAUGGGGGUGCCUACAGGUGACCAACACUGGACACAUAAUGACAGCAGACCAAGGCUGGCAGAGA